GGGCCCGCACAAGCGGUGGAGCAUGUGGUUUAAUUCGAUGAUACGCGAGGAACCUUACCAGGGCUUAAAUGUAUUCUGACAGCUUUAGAGAUAGAGUUUUCUUCGGACUACUUACAAGGUGCUGCAUGGUUGUCGUCAGCUCGUGCCGUGAGGUGUCAGGUUAAGUCCUAUAACGAGCGCAACCCCUGUCGUUAGUUACCAGCAAGUAAUGUUGGGUACUCUAGCGAGACUGCCGGUGCAAACCGUGAGGAAGGUGGGGAUGACGUCAAAUCAUCACGGCCCUUACGUCCUGGGCUACACACGUGCUACAAUGGCCGGUACAGAGAGCAGCCACUACGCGAGUAGGAGCGAAUCUUCAAAGCCGGUCUCAGUUCGGAUCGCAGUCUGCAACUCGACUGCGUGAAGCUGGAAUCGCUAGUAAUCG
rnacentral:rRNA from 1 species